UCAGACGAUGCGUCAUGCAUAUCAAUAAGCGGAGGAAAAGAAACUAACAAGGAUUCCCCUAGUAACGGCGAGUGAAGCGGGAAGAGCUCAAAUUUGAAAUCUUAAAGGGUUUCCCUUUACGAAUUGUAGUUUAAAGAAGUGUUUUCUGUUGAGGUUUUGGUAAAAGUUCUUUGGAAUAGGACAUCAUAGAGGGUGAGAAUCCCGUAUUUGACCUUUACUUUCAACUUUGUGAUACACUUUCAAAGAGUCGGAUUGUUUGGGAAUGCAGUCCAAAAUGGGUGGUAAAUUUCAUCUAAAGCUAAAUAUUGGCGAGAGACCGAUAGCGAACAAGUACCGUGAGGGAAAGAUGAAAAGAACUUUGAAAAGAGAGUUAAACAGUACGUGAAAUUGUCAAAAGGGAAGCGUUUGACACCAGUGUUGUUUUUCUGAAAAUCAAUUAAAGAACUGUUUAUGCUAAGCUGUUUAGACUUUAUCAGCUAAUCUGUUUAGUUUUGAGCUUUUCUUUAAUGCACUUUUCAGUUAACAAGUCAACAUCAAUUUCUUUUGCUGUAAAAAAGCUUGAGGAAGGUGGCUUGAGAUUCGUCUUAAGUGUUUAUAGCCUCUUGCCUAUGCAGUCGGAGAGAUUGAGGUCUGCAGCGUAGAUCCUUCGGGGCUAAAUGCAUUUGUGCUAAGUUAUAGCAUUUCAUAGACAACUUGUUGACUAUGAUUUGUCUUGUAGCUUACUCGCUUAUGUUAUUUUACCUACGCUUAGGAUGUUGAAUCUGUGCGAGACUAC
rnacentral:rRNA from 1 species